rnacentral:lncRNA from 1 species
GGGAGGACCAAGCCGGAGGUUCCCACUAUGAGCCCGGAGUCUGUGCAGCCAGAUGACGCAUGAGCUCUAUUCAAAAUACCCAAGAUUUGGAAGCAACCUAAGUGCAUAUCAGCAGACAAAUGGAUAAAGAAAAUGUGGUACAUAUACAAAAUGGAGUACUAUUCAGCUGUAAAAAAGAAUGAGAUCCUGUCAUUUGCAACAACAUGCAUGCAACUGGAGGUCGUUAUGCCUCUGCCUCUGAAUGUGAAGGGAAACUGGACCAGCUCAGUGUCAAGCCUCUACUCUGAAGAGACCUGAAUGGACAAGAGAUGUUUUCCUCUUCCUUACCAUAAUAAAAGAGGACUGCUCCUGACCACAGGAUAUGCCUGGUCCAGGAAAUGGCCACAUUUCCCCCCUCAGGACCUCUACUUGGAUGGGCUGCCUUGGAAAUAAGGAAGCUCAAACUGAGGCAGAAUCACAGCGAUUUGGAAAAUGGUCCAAUCAGCUAUAGUGGAAGAGCAGAAUCAUUGAAUAUAAAACAUGGAGAUGUCAGCAGCAGGGGCUGUGAGCUGAACAGCUUCACUGGGAAGAGGAUAUGGGUGAGAAGGUACAGCAAUGGGUACCUCCAUUAACAGGUAAGCUGGAUCCUCCAUAGGAAUAGGCACUAGCUGGUUUUGGAUGAAGGUGUCGUAAGAUCAGAUACACUUUUGGGUGAUCAGCAUGAUCUGGGUAUGGACAUGGCAGAGCAGGUGGAAGGGAAGGGACCAAUAUGUGUCAAUAACCAUCUAUGAGCCAGGCACUUACCGGGAAGUAUAAUGUCUUUGUAGUUAGACAGACCAGUAGUGUCUGUUGCUCUGGAGGAAGUUACUUAAACUCACCAAGACUCAGUUUUCUCUGUAUUAAAAUGAUGACACCUACCUCACUAUCUGGCCAUUGGGAUUAAAUAUGAGAAUAUGUGUGAAAAUUUAUGUCAUAUGGUAAGCACUCAGAUGUUUCCUGGUGGAACAGCAUGGUGUGGAUUAGGAACAUCCAAACUCUGACAUCAAGCUGAACUUUUGAAAUAGAGGCCUCCCUGCUCACUAGUUGGGCAACCUUGAACAAGCUAGUUAAACUGUCUAGAGCUCAGUUUUGUUAUCUGGUGAGAUUAAUAGCAUUGAAUGGUGUAAAGCACAUUCUCAGUAAAUGCUCAUUAUUAUGAUUAUAGUUAUUAAUGUUUAUUUAACUUUGAAAUAAUAAUGUGUAGGAGCUCCUCAGGUAGAUAAUGGAAAUAAGAAAUUUCUUAGGUCAUGGAAGCAUGGAGGUAUGGAAAAUUUUGGAGAACAAAGAGGAGUCUGGUGAAGUAGGGUGGGGAUACUGGGCAGAUGCAAAGAUUGCCAAGGGUUAUAUCAUAAAGGCCGGGAUACCAGCCUGGCAUCAACUGCCUUAGAUUGGGAAGAUGCAAAACUGUGGUCUGGAGUCAGCCCUGCAGAAGCCUGUUUCCUGACUUUCCAUCUUCAAUCUCUUUUCUAUGCAGUUACCAGAGUCAUGUUUUGAAAUCUCAAAUCUGAGCAUCUAUCCUCAAAUAGAGGCCUACAUGGCUUCCAGUUCCUCCAGGAGAAGGUCCAAAUCCCUUAAGAUGACUUUAAGGCCCUCAAGUGUUCCAGGCUCUGUACGUUCUUGUGCCACAACUAUGCC